GAUGAACGCUGGCGGCGUGCCUAAUACAUGCAAGUCGAGCGAACAGAUGAGGAGCUUGCUCCUCUGACGUUAGCGGCGGACGGGUUAGUAACACGUGGAUAACCUACCUAUAAGACUGGGAUAACUUCGGGAAACCGGAGCUAAUACCGGAUAAUAUAUUGAACCGCAUGGUUCAAUAGUGAAAGACGGUUUUGCUGUCACUUAUAGAUGGAUCCGCGCCGCAUUAGCUAGUUGGCAAGGUAACGGCUUACCAAGGCAACGAUGCGUAGCCGACCUGAGAGGGUGAUCGGCCACACUGGAACUGAGACACGGUCCAGACUCCUACGGGAGGCAGCAGUAGGGAAUCUUCCGCAAUGGGCGAAAGCCUGACGGAGCAACGCCGCGUGAGUGAUGAAGGUCUUCGGAUCGUAAAACUCUGUUAUUAGGGAAGAACAAAUGUGUAAGUAACUAUGCACGUCUUGACGGUACCUAAUCAGAAAGCCACGGCUAACUACGUG
rnacentral:rRNA from 1 species